UACGUAGGGCGCAAGCGUUGUCCGGAAUUAUUGGGCGUAAAGAGCUCGUAGGCGGCUUUGUCACGUCGGAUGUGAAAGCCCGGGGCUUAACCCCGGGUCUGCAUUCGAUACGGGCUAGCUAGAGUGUGGUAGGGGAGAUCGGAAUUCCUGGUGUAGCGGUGAAAUGCGCAGAUAUCAGGAGGAACACCGGUGGCGAAGGCGGAUCUCUGGGCCAUUUACUGACGCUGAGGAGCGAAAAGCGUGGGGAGCGAACAGG
rnacentral:rRNA from 1 species